rnacentral:rRNA from 1 species
GAUGAACGCUGGCGGCGUGCCUAAUACAUGCAAGUCGAGCGAACAGACGAGGAGCUUGCUCCUCUGACGUUAGCGGCGGACGGGUGAGUAACACGUGGAUAACCUACCUAUAAGACUGGGAUAACUUCGGGAAACCGGAGCUAAUAACGGAUAAUAUAUUGAACCGCAUGGUUCAAUAGUGAAAGACGGUUUUGCUGUCACUUAUAGAUGGAUCCGCGCCGCAUUAGCUAGUUGGUAAGGUAACGGCUUACCAAGGCAACGAUGCGUAGCCGACCUGAGAGGGUGAUCGGCCACACUGGAACUGAGACACGGUCCAGACUCCUACGGGAGGCAGCAGUAGGGAAUCUUCCGCAAUGGGCGAAAGCCUGACGGAGCAGCGCCGCGUGAGUGAUGAAGGUCUUCGGAUCGUAAAACUCUGUUAUUAGGGAAGAACAAAUGUGUAAGUAACUAUGCACGUCUUGACGGUACCUAAUCAGAAAGCCACGGCUAACUACGUG